rnacentral:misc_RNA from 1 species
GAUGAAGAACGUAGCGAAACGCGAAAGGUAAUGCGAAUUGCAGAAUCAGUGAAUCAUCGAAUCUUUGAACGCACAUUGCGCCCCUUGGUAUUCCAUGGGGCAUGCCUGUUCGAGCGUCAUUUGUACCUUCAAGCUUUGCUUGGUGUUGGGUGUUUGUCUCGCCUUUGCGUGUAGACUCGCCUUAAAAUAAUUGGCAGCCGGCGUAUUGAUUUCGGAGCGCAGUACAUCUCGCGCUUUGCACUCAUAACGACAGCGUCCAAAAGUACAUUUUACACUCUUGACCUCGGAUCAGGUAGGGAUACCCGCUGAACUUAAGCAUAUCAAUAAGCGGAGGA